CAGAGACCACUCUAGUGGCCCAGGCUAGUGACCAGGAACAUGUACCUUCCUGCAGCCAACCACAGACGUCCACUGAUGCAUCAUAUACUGGCAAAGAUCCUGGCCUGGGGGGGUCUUGGCCGCCAGAGAUUCGCCAGAUGUUGGACUCCAGGCAAGCUUGCUCCUGGGAGGUGGGGUGGUUAGGUCAGGGGGCGGCGGCAGCGGCAGUGGGGCGGAGCGGGGCUGCCCCUGGCGAACUGGUGGAAUAGCUGCCUUGUCCCGGCUGCCGGGCGUGGGAGCGGCCUCUGCUGCCCCAGAGGCGGGACGCGGGUCUCCAGGUGAGCUUGCUCCUGGGAGGCGGCGGCGGCGGCGCCAGGGGGAGGGGGACCGUUCCAGGUAGCUGCUCCAUUUCUUCUCUCCCCCGCGGCCUGGCCUGGGGGCGACCUCUGCCACCGGAGAUUUGCCUGAGGUCUGUCUCCAGGAGAGCUUGCUCCUGGGAGAUGGGUGCGGUGCGGUCAGGGGGCUGGUAAGGUGAUGGCUGCGGGGAUAGGGAGGCUGCCCCGGGGGAGCCUGUGGACUAGCUCCCAUGUCUGUGUAGCGUGGCCUGCAGGCGGCCUCUGCUGCGCCAGGUCCCGGAACACCCCUGUCCCACUUUGCCUGCUGGGGGCGGGAGGCAGGGUAAUCAGGGUGCAGGGGUGGCGGGGGUCGGGGGCCUGCAGCGGGGGAGCGGGCCCAUUUGCUCCCAUCUUCCCCGCGGCUUGUCCUGGGGGCGGUUUCUGUUGCCCUGGGUUACAAGACACGUGUAUCCUAGUCGGCCUGAUCCCGGGAGGCGGGCGUGGUACGUUGGGGUUGGUGGCAGCAGUGGCAGGUUUUCCUAUGGAGCCAGUCCAUUUGCUCCCAUUUCCCCCCAUGGUUUGUCCUGGGGGCGGUCCCUGUUGUCCCAAGUUCGCCGGACGUCAAUCUCCAGGUGACAUUUUAGGUUAUUGGGUCACAGAUUGCUGGCACACUCAUCCCUAUUCUCAAACAUCUUUUAAACUUGGGUGAAGUGAUAAGUAGGAGAAG